UACGGGGGGAGCAAGCGUUGUUCGGAUUUACUGGGCGUAAAGUGUGCGCAGGUGGCUUCGCAAGUCGAGUGUGAAAUCCCCGGGCUUAACCUGGGAAUUGCGCUCGAAACUACGGAGCUGGAGUAUGGCAGAGGGAGGUGGAAUUCCACGUGUAGCGGUGAAAUGCGUAGAGAUGUGGAGGAACACCAAUGGCGAAGGCAGCCUCCUGGGCCAAUACUGACACUCAUGCACGAAAGCGUGGGGAGCAAACAGG
rnacentral:rRNA from 1 species